UACGUAGGGUGCAAGCGUUAAUCGGAAUUACUGGGCGUAAAGCGUGCGCAGGCGGUUCUAUAAGACAGAUGUGAAAUCCCCGGGCUCAACCUGGGAACUGCAUUUGUGACUGCAUCGCUGGAGUGCGGCAGAGGGGGAUGGAAUUCCGCGUGUAGCAGUGAAAUGCGUAGAUAUGCGGAGGAACACCGAUGGCGAAGGCAAUCCCCUGGGCCUGCACUGACGCUCAUGAACGAAAGCGUGGGGAGCAAACAGG
rnacentral:rRNA from 1 species